GAUGAACGCUGGCGGCGUGCCUAAUACAUGCAAGUCGAGCGAACGGACGAGAAGCUUGCUUCUCUGAUGUUAGCGGCGGACGGGUGAGUAACACGUGGAUAACCUACCUAUAAGACUGGGAUAACUUCGGGAAACCGUAGCUAAUACCGGAUAAUAUUUUGAACCGCAUGGUUCAAAAGUGAAAGACGGUCUUGCUGUCACUUAUAGAUGGAUCCGCGCUGCACUAGCUAGUUGGUAAGGUAACGGCUUACCAAGGCAACGAUGCAUAGCCGACCUGAGAGGGUGGUCGGCCAGACUGGAACUGAGACACGGUCCACACUCCUACGGGAGGCACCAGUAGGGAAUCUUCCGCAAUGGGCGAAAGCCUGACGGAGCAACGCCGCGUGAAUGAUGAAGGUCUUCGGAUCGUAAAACUCUGUUAUUAGGGAAGAACAUAUGUGUAAGUAACUGUGCACAUCUUGACGGUACCUAAUCAGAAAGCCACGGCUAACUACGUG
rnacentral:rRNA from 1 species